AAGAGAACGUGCCCUCCGGGGUAGAUCUCCCACCCUGUGUCUACACUACCUUUGUUGCUUUGGCAGGCCCGCCCUCGGGCCGCCGGCUCCGGCUGGCCAGCGCCUGCCAGAGGACCCAAAACUCUUGUUAUCAAUGCCGUCUGAGUACUAUACAAUAAGUUA
rnacentral:misc_RNA from 1 species